GCCCCCUUAGCUCAGUUGGUAGAGCACAUCCAUGGUAAGGAUGAGGUCUUCGGUUCGAAUCCGAAAGGGGGCU
rnacentral:tRNA from 1 species